rnacentral:hammerhead_ribozyme from 1 species
GCACUGCUGAGGAGUCCCACAAUAGGACGAAAUGGCCACCCAGUGU